rnacentral:rRNA from 1 species
GAUGAACGCUGGCGGCGUGCCUAAUACAUGCAAGUCGAGCGAACAGACGAUGAUCUUGCUCCUCUUACGUUAUCGGCGGACGUGUGAGUAACACGUGUAUAACCUACCUAUAUUACUGUUAUAUCUUCGUGAAACCGUAUCUUAUACCGUUUAAUAUAUUUAUCCUCAUUGUUCAUUAGUUUAUUUCGGUUUUUCUGUCUCUUAUAGAUGUAUCCGCGCCGCAUUAGCUAGUUGGUAAGGUAACGGCUUACCAAGGCAACGAUGCGUAUCCGACAUGAGAGGGUGAGAGGCAAAACUGGAACAGAGACACGGAACAGACUACUACGGGAGGCAGCAGUAGGGAAUAUUCCGCAAAGGGCGAAAGCAUGACGGAGCAAAGGCGCGUGAGUGAUGAAGGUCUUCGGAUCGUAAAACUCUGUUAUUAGGGAAGAAAAAAUGUGUAAGUAAAUAUGCACGUAUUGACGGUAACUAAUAAGAAAGCAACGGCUAACUACGUG